UACGUAGGGGGCAAGCGUUGUCCGGAAUCAUUGGGCGUAAAGAGCUCGUAGGCGGUUCGGUAAGUCGGGUGUGAAAACUCUGGGCUCAACCCAGAGCCGCCACCCGAUACUGCUGUGACUCGAGUGCGGUAGGGGAGCGGGGAAUUCCUGGUGUAGCGGUGAAAUGCGCAGAUAUCAGGAGGAACACCAGUGGCGAAGGCGCCGCUCUGGGCCGUGACUGACGCUGAGGAGCGAAAGCGUGGGUAGCAAACAGG
rnacentral:rRNA from 1 species